UCCACUGGCGAAAGUAGUGGGGCUGCCCAGGAGAAAGAUGGCCGCCACCAGCAAGGAACUUUGUAUUAUGCACCCUUCUCAGCCGUAUUCCGGGGGAAGCCGGACCGAUCGUGUAAAGAAGCUUUAUCCGAUGGUAAACGAAGAGGAAACGCCGUUGCCACGAUCGUGGAACCCCAAGGACAAGUACAAUUACAUCGGCCUUUCUCAAAACAAUCUUCGUGUUCAUUACAAAGGUUAUGGAAAAACUCACAAGGAUGCAGCAAGUGUACGUACAACACACCCCAUACCAGCAGCCUGUGGUCUUUAUUAUUUUGAGGUGAUGAUCAUCAGUAAAGGCAGAGAUGGUUAUAUGGGAAUUGGCCUGUCUGCCCAUGGUGUAAAUGUAAACAGGCUGCCAGGCUGGGACAAGCAUUCCUAUGGAUACCAUGGGGAUGAUGGACACAGCUUUUGUUCCUCUGGAACAGGGCAACCUUAUGGACCCACGUUCACAACAGGGGAUGUGAUCGGCUGUGGAGUAAAUCUCGUCGACAACACUGCCUUCUACACGAAGAACGGACACCAUCUUGGCAUCGCCUUCACUGAUCUCCCGCCAAAUUUGUAUCCAACGGUGGGUCUUCAAACGCCAGGGGAAGUUGUAGAUGCAAACUUCGGACAGGAACCUUUCGUCUUUGACAUUCAAGAAAUGCUUAACGAACUUCGUAUCAAAACAAGAUUGCAAAUUAUAAACUACCCCACGCCGGAUCACGGGCAGGGUCAGUGGCAAGCAGUUCUUCACAAAAUGGUGUUAACAUAUUUAGUCCACCACGGUUAUUGUGCCACUGCCGAGGCGUUUGCCAACAGUACUGGUGAGGGAUUCGAGGAAGAUCUUAACUCCAUUAAAAAUAGACAAAAAAUCCUCAAGUUGGUACUGGCAGGCAGAAUGGGAGAAGCCAUAGAAUUAACCAGUCGACUGUACCCGGGUGUCUUAGAACGGGAUCCGAAUCUUCUCUUUGCCCUAAAGUGUCGGCAGUUCGUCGAGAUGGUGAAUGGUAGCGAUUCUGAAAUUUCCCAGAACUCCAAUGUCAAUCAAACUAGUGUUAUACAGUCCACAAAGGCUUACACCAAGUCUUCGACAAAUGGUAAUGUCGAGGAGAUGAACAUGAAUAACACGAUGAACGGUUCCACUGAACAGCAGCUCAUUAAUGGACAGAUCGAUAAUGAUGUAGAUAUGGAAGAGAAUGUGAUGAACGGCGUGAAAAGUAAUACCGAGAAUGGUUAUCAAAAUGGUGAUCUAAGCACCAAUGGGUACAAGUAUCAGAAUGGAGAGGAUGUCGACAUGGAGAUCAACAGUGUUAAUCACACUCAGCAACAGCAAAACGGCAGUUGCAGUUCGGAAAACAUAUUGAAUAAAAAUAACAAGAAACAGUUAUGUGGCGGGGACAAACUGGCAAUCGAGAAGAUGUUGGAAUUUGGAAGACAGUUGCAUUCACAGUCGUUACAUCUGCGACAGCAGCACGGAAAGAAUGAAAGCAAUAAAAAGAUGCUCCAAGAUGCGUUUAGUCUUCUAGCUUAUGCCAAUCCAUGGAACUCGCCAGUUGGAUGGCAACUUGACCCUCAACAAAGGGAAAGCGUUUGUGCGAGACUCAAUUCUGCCAUACUCGAAUCGAGUAACUUGCCACGACGACCACCGCUGGAAGUGGCCGAGUCCCAUGCGAGAGAAUUGGUACGGCUGAUGUCUCACGCUGGUCUCGGGGCAUGCGGCUUCGCGGUCGUAGACAAUAUCAUCCAAUAUUGACGGUGCCUACCCCUGCUGCCACGUCUGCUUCUUCUGCCGGCUCGAGUUUGGAUGUGGAGACGAAACGUGGAGCAGAUAAUACUUUUGCAGCAACAAUUUCGCGACAUCGCGUGCCUCUUCAGCUAGAGUCCAGCAGUCGGCUCUCUGACUCGAUCUCACACAUCUACACCAGACACACAAGCGAAUACAUAACACAAUACGCGCGAGACCCACCAAAAAGUACACGAUGUUACGGCAACGAGGACGAGAACAAGGAUGAUUGCUAACUAAAAUCAUCAACCUGUGGAUCAUUGCAUGGACACGAUUGAAAUUUUCCAGAGUCUGAACAAAGAACUGGCUUGAAGAACCAUAAGACGAAGAAGAAGAAGGGGACCUUAAGGAUGGCGAAGGGAAAUACGAAAAAGAAAUAGCUGGAGCGAAAAUUCAAGGUUAAAAUCAACAUGGCGGACGAAAUUUUGAGCGAACAGAUGGCGCUGAUGGUUGAAGAAAUGUUAGAAAUAAUAGACACAAUUUUGGAAAAAGAAGUGAGAUGGUUUUAACGAUGAUACGGUGAUCUAGAACGAGGAACAGAUCGAAAAUCGAAGAUGGAGAAGAAGCUCGAAUAAAAUCGAGGGUGACGUUUAUAAACACCUGCCAAGACGACCCUUUUCUCGUUUCCUCUUUUUAGCCCUGUAAUUCACCAUCAUCUUGAGGUUGUUCCCUCGUUCCCAUAAUCGAUCGCCAGCGAGUUACCGAGUCGUUUCUCGCUACGGGACGUGCUUUUGUGUUUUCGCCUUGUUUCUGACCGCCAGACGAUGAACAUCUCUUCAGGUAGGUUUUUAACUCAUCUCAUUCGAUUUUUUCUGUCGCUAUCCUCCCCGGUUUUUUAUCGUCUCACUUCACAAUAGUUGCUUCUAUUCAUACUUUGUGUUAAACUUAAUCUUUGUUUUACUAAAUUUCAGCCAUA